UUUAAACCAAACAAACCCUAUAAGUAACCGUUUCCUUAAAAUUUCAGUUAAAACUUUCCGAUGACUUCAACCCCCAAAACAGAAAACACGAAAACAUUAGUCAAUUUUAUAAGCGUUGACUUUCACUUGCUUUUAUAGGACUUCUCUGUUUAUGGAUGAGUUGUAUCAAAAUGAGGAUUUUGAGCUUUCCAUUCUAUACUUAGAGAGCAGUGCUGGAGGCUGCAGAGAGGCGAAUACAGGAUCUAAGUUCUAUGGCUCAACCAGUAAGGUUUUAGCAUUCUACCUAUUGUAUAUUUAAAAUUAUGCGCUUAUAUCUACUAUUUGUUAUAAUUUUAGUGUAUUUUUAUACAUAAAUUUAUGUUUUUCAUCGAAAGUAAUGAAUUCAGAUGAAUCUGGUGUCGCAACGCUGAAUCCAUGCUAAGUUAAACGGAAAAUAAAAGGGGCACAAAUCCUUCAAAAUCAUGGCUCCAGUUCUUUGUUUUGUGUUUUGGGGUUAAGCAAGCCUGAUUCGCGAGAUCGCUGUUAAGUUUAAUUAAGUUUUUGAGGGAAUCUAUUACUUUUAGAUUUAGGACCAAAAUUCCCUAAUUAACCCCUAUACAUGAAGGACCAUUUUGAUCAUUUUCUCGCUUCAAGAAAAAAUGGCAGUUUUAGUAGUAGUAAUUUGAGAUAUUCAUCAAUGUCGAAGAAACAAAAGAAUAGAGUCACUGGAGUUGAAAAACCCCCAGAUCGUAUCAGUCAGUUGCCGGAGGCACUCCUGGUACAAAUUCUCUCUCUUUUGCCAGCCAAAGAUGCCGUGGCAUCAUGUGUUCUUUCAAGAAGGUGGCGUUAUCUUUGGAAUUCAAUUGAUAAUUUCCUUUUCGUUGGUAGUAAUUUCAAGAAAGCUGAAAACUUUAUAUCCUUUGUGGACCAUGUUUUGAUGCAUUCCACUUGUUCCAAAAUAAAAAAAUUCCAUCUCCAUUUAGAUUACACCUCCGAUUUGAACUUUGACUGGAGAAUCAGCCGAUGGAUUAGUUUUGCUGUAGAAAGGAAAGUGGAAGAUGUUGUCUUGUGUUAAUUUGAUAAAGAUCUAUUGACUCUGGUUCGUCAUUGAUUACAUUUGAUUGGAGCUGUUACGUGUCUGAUAAAGGAUCGGUCAUAGAGUGGAAGUCACUGAAAACCCUAAAGAUGAACUAUAUUGUGUUAGAUGAUGACGAAAUUGUGAAGUUACUGUCAGGUUGUUCUUCUUUGGAAACUCUGGAGUUGUCUUUCUUUGAUGAUUUUUGUCGUCUGGAAAUCACUUCUCCAAAUUUAAAGAGACUUAAGUUGGAAGAGUAUUGGAUGCCAAAUGACGAUGAUGAUCACUCAUUGGAACGUGGACUUUGAGCAAUACGGUUUUCAUUUGACUGUAGACUUGCAUUUGAUCUCGAUUAUAUUCUUUCUCCGGUUGAAUCCUCUUCGAUGCACAUUUGAGAUAGCAUAUUUGGCCAGAGGAGAUGAUAUUCAUUUGCUGUCAAGCUUCGGGUUUCCUAACCUCAAGGAUGUUAAAGUUGUCAGCUCCUCAGGGAUGUGUCUGAACUCUGAAGGAAGAUCCUGAAUGGGAUUAUGAUAAAUUUUUCAAACUUUCUGAACUUAUUCUAAAGAAUGCACUGGUUUUGGAGAAGUUCGUAAUUAUAUCAAGGAGAUCAAGAAAGUGCAAGAGCUGUUCAAUGAAAUAGUGUCUCGAUAUUCAGUUCGAUUGGCUGAGAAAUUGGUAGGUUCAGGAUCCUCUACCAAUUCAGUGAUUAUUUUCCCGGAGGAAGCUUUCGAUGACUAGAUUGCAAGUAGUUUUCUGUUUCAGCAUGCCAGAAAUGUUACCUUAUAUUUAGUUUUUGAAAUUUACUGCAGGUAAAAAUCUUGAACUUGUCUAUGUAACUAUACUGCCUCUCUACCCUCCUAGGGUAGGGGUAAGGUCUGCGUGUGCACUACCCUUCCCAGAUUUGUGGGACUCUAGUGGGUUUGUUGUUGUUGUCUAUGUGACUAUAUUAUUUGUUCCUGUUAUUUAUCUACAUAUCAAAUUUUACCUUGUGAAAUCUGUGUUUUGCAAUCUUUGUUGAUGA